rnacentral:misc_RNA from 1 species
AAAGAAGCCAAGUUCACUGGCUCUCUCCUUCUCAAAGGUUUCAAAGUAUUGAUAAAUGAUUGUGACUGCCAGAAGAAUCCCUGUCCCUGAACCAAUUGCACCCAUGAAAUCUGCCAACACUGUCAAUGCACCAAUGCAGACCCCUCCAAAAGCAGCAGCUGUGGGUAUGUAGCGGUUCAACUCUUUCUGUAAGUUAGACUCCCGAUGGCCAGGCAUAACCAUUUGUUGUUCCUGUAACAGGAAAUGUGAACAAAAACAUCAUAUUCAUACCAUUCAACUGACAACCAAUAUGCAGUUUUUAUUCAUGAAUCCUAAUACAUACAAUUGAUGACAGUUUGAAAAAGUAAACCAAUGUCACAUUCAUGUGAAAAUAACACAACUUUCACAUUGGCAUAUGAGCAAAUUGUUUUAAAUAGCACUUUGGCGAUGAGCUGAAAACAUAUUGACCACAGAAAUUGAGGAACAGGGGUUCUUUUGCACAAACUAGGGUUCACUUCUGGAGACCAUGCAUCUGGGACAGCAGAUUGCCAAACAGGACCACUAAACAGGAUAUUAAAGAACUUCAGAGCAGGAUCUACAGUCAAUUCAACAUUUAUGCCUAGUAUGAUAAUUGGCAACAAACUCACCUAAACAGCUACAAAUGCUAAAACUAGUAAAUCCUAAGCUCAAGUUAUGAAAGGACUCAAUAUGCAUCAAAAAAUCCUAUUGCACAAACAGUUCUCACUUCUUAGAGAUAUACAAACAUAGCCACUUCUCUACAUCCUUGCACUGGGGGGGAAAUGACUAUAUUACCUGAUUAGGGUAUAACUUUAUUCAAUAUAUGAUAUUAAUAAAAGAGGUUCUAUAAUUCUAUAGAGUCCAAAACAAGAAUAUCCACAUUCUCUCCAAUUCCCAGAUAGAACUGAAUUUUUUUUUUUCUCAAAUGCUUUUUACCUCAUAACAACAAUAUUUCACCUCUACUACUCAAUGGAAGUCAUUAUAAAAUAUGCUACCUCUAGGACCUAUUACAGAAUUUCAGAGGAAGCCAUUCCAUGAAUAUGUUCACAAAAAAAUGCAAUGUCUCACAGAGACAACAUUUUCUUUUUCUCAGAAAAAGGAAAUAAUAACAUAUUCAAUCUCCUCAUAAAUAUUCUAUGUUAAAAGUAAAACGUAAAAGGCGAGGAAGGGAAGGGUGGAACAGGCCUAAACUAAAAUAAAAUUUGCAACACAUUGGUAAUCCUAAAAGGGGUGUCUUACUGUGUUGAGAGAAAAGCUCUCAAUCAAGACAUAAGAAAAUUGUUCAAAAUAAUUCUAAAAUAUGAGAGUUCUAAUUUCACAUACCUUCAGUUGCUUGGCCACAUCUUUAGCAGAUGACCCAGAAACUUCAAUCCAUGUUUUUGAGAAGAGUGCACAUGCUGACAACAUGAACACAAAAUAGAAAAGUGCAUGAAAAGGAUUUGCUGCCAUAUCAGCAAGGCUUGAUGGUGCAGUGAUGUAAUAUGCAAGGCCACCAACAGGGACUGACUGACCAUUUGAAUAUUCAGAUUCCUUCCACUUGCCCAAAAGAUUCACAAGGAAAUUGUCACUGUAUCUCCGAUACAACAACUGGGAGAUCAAGUAGAGGUUAGACACAAGAGCAGAUUGCAAAAUAAUAGGCAUGUUAGAGGUAUAGAACAGCUUGAUUGGAUAUGAACCCUGCUGCCCACGAGCAUUCUUUGACCUCACAGGCAAA